rnacentral:rRNA from 1 species
ACCUUGACUGUGCUAAGGUAGCAUAAUAAAUUGACUUUUAAUUGGGGCCUUGAAUGAAAGGAUUCAUGGAUAAUUGCUGUCUAUAUUAAUAAUUUAAAGUUACUUAAAAGGUGAAAAUUCCUUUUUAUAAAAAAUAGACGAGAAGACCCUAGGAGUUAUAAUUUUGUUGGGGCGACAAUGUAACAUAAAACUUACAUAAAUAAAUUAAUUUAACGAAUAAUAUUAAUUUUAAUUAAACUACCCUAGGGAUAACAGCAUAAUUUAUUUAAGUUUGUGACCUCGAUGUUGGAUUAGGGACUUUUAAAGUUAACAGCGUUAAUUGGUAGUUCUGUUCGAAC